CCCUACGCAUCCGUCGUACUCAACGGGAUCCACGCACAAUAGGGAGGGAAAUGGUUGCUAAAACACUGCUCACAAACAUCUGUACAGGCUGAAAGAGACACAAGAAAACAGACAAGACUGACUCGGCAGGACAUCGCGUCCUGGGCCUACUUAGUCUAUCAAGCAUAGACAUCAGAGUCAAAGUAGUUCGACCAAAGGGGGAAAACACAUGCUCGCUAGGAUGUCGCAUCCU
rnacentral:lncRNA from 1 species